ensembl:lncRNA
GUUUGGGAGUGCAGGAGAGGCAGGGACAGUUCUGAUGAAGCUCCCCGGUUCCACAGAGGAAGCAGUGCCGUCUAGCUGUGGGUCCUGAGAAGGCAGAGGGCAGGGUAGCAUUUGAGCUGGAACUUGGGGGUGCAGAUUGGGCAGUGAUGGCUGUAAGGAACUACAGGUGGUGGAAAUGGCCUGAGGAAGGCAGAGAGGAUGGACAUCCCAGUGCCCAGUCACCACUUCAUUCCGCCUUCCCCGAGACCCAUGAGGCAGAGCCCAGGAGCAUCUCCCAGCCUCUCUGAGCAUCUGUGAUGUUCAGACCACACUUCAGGUCUCACACUGUUUCUAAGAGGAGGAGGAGUGGCCCAACCCUGCCGUCCGACAGCUGAAAAGCUUCGAUGAAAGAGGAGAGCUCCUGGUGAAGCACGAGUGCAGUUGCUCCCUGCAGGACACUGCCCGCCCCCAAUGGCCUGUCUCUGGAGCCCAGUCCAGGCUCCCUGGGCCUGAGCAACACUUGCCCUGCCUUCUGGCCUUUGCUCUGCUCUAUCCACAUCUGGAGUAGCCUUCCUCCCAUGGGCGAAUGUCCAGAUCUGCCCACGAGGCCUGACUCAAAUGCCACCCCCAAUGUAACCUAAAUGGGCUGACCUUCAUCCUCCACCCCAUCCAAAGGGGAAGGGAGCGCUCCUCUCCCUGAUUGCCUAGCGUACUGUGUGUCCUUAUCUCUGUGUCGUCACAGUCAUCUGCUGAUGCACUUCAGCUUCCCCCAGUGCUAGGUGUGAGCCUCUUGAAGGCCAGGCUUCGUCUCCUUCUCAGGGUCUAGCAUGACCGCUGCUACUCACAGCUGUUCAGGAAACGUCUCUGUUAGCACCGGAGGCUUGGAUGUACAGGUCUCUGAAAGCAUGGAGGCCAGAGCUUCUUAGAAAGGAUUGUAAGUAUUUCAGAUGGAGAACUGGAAAGAAAUUAAGUUUGGAGAUUUGCGGAAGGAGUUGAAGAGUCAACUGCACUCUCCUGGAUGGAGGGUCCUAUUGGCCCCCUCAACCUUACACUUGUCCAGGAAGCCCUUCACUUCGCCGCCAACCCAGACACAUGCCCUGACUGGAUGCUGCACUGAGGCCUUGGCUAUGAGACAGAGAAUCUGGCUCAGAGGCGUAGGGAGACACUGAUGGCUCUUGGAAAGGUUUCUGAUGGGAGGAAAAUUGCAUUUCAAAAGAGUGGCCUGGGUCUUGUCGCUCCUUGGCUUACGAUUCUUCAGAAGCUUCCCAUUUCUCUCAGCAUACAGGAAAAAGCACUUUUGUGUGGUUCUCAAAGCCCAGCGUGCUUGGACACCAUCAUGUGAAGCUCAGCCUGCCCUGAGGCAGCCCCUGUGCUCUUCCCUCUCUUAGUCUUCCCUCCACGCUUCCUGCCACAGGACAUUUGCACAGGUCUCCCGCAUGCCAGGUCACCACGAAAGCCAAGGACAAAGAAGCAGCAAACGUAGUUCGGGUCUACAGAAGCUCCAUAAAUCACUACUGAGACAAUGGAGGCAGGAAUAAUGUUCUACUUCUCUCAG